GCUUGCAUGGUGUAGUGGUUUGUCUUUGGACUAUGACUUUGGAGACCAGGGUUCAAUUCCCAGCUCGGCCA